GUUCGGACGACAAUGUGAUGUCAAGGCGAAUCAAGAAGUUCUUCAUGCGAUUCCAACACGCUCCUAAUGUACUGGGAAUGUGGGGAGUGCAGCAGCAUCAGUGCAGCACCAAUGGUCAGAUGCGAAGGCUGUGAUAAAUGGUACCACUUCCGUUGCGCGGGACUGUCUAAGGAGCCAGAAACACCGACAUGGCGAUGCAGGUGGUACUGCCUGGUGAGGCCGCGGUCUCCGGAAUCGCCUGCAGACGAAGUCACCUGGCGUCCAUCUGCACAUCACUUGCAGAAGUGAGGCCUGCUGACAGCGUCUGGCAGUGUCGGCAACGUGCCAGACAGCUAUCUGGAGUCCUGCUCACCGCAGGUCGCCGACAGGAGGGGCGACGCAUCGUCUCCGAGGUCGCCUCAGCAUCAGUGAGACCCCACUGGCCGUCUUCUUAGGCUUCAACUAGAUUGCGAACAACCUAUGCUGAGACAACGCCCAUGACGUGUGAUCCGGUACCGCUACCGCACUGCGUGCCUGUGCCCGCCGUGAGCCGCUAGUGCAUGGGUUCGACCAUGAGAAUGUGUGUUUAUGUUGCUUUUACUAUUGUUUAUACGUUGAAGUGACGAAUUGUUUAUUUUUCGCAAGCCUCCGCUGUCCGGUUGCCUGCAGCUCCAUGCAACGUCAGCUGUACUGUUGUUUUAAUGUUGUCUCUCCGCUCAGCUGUACUGUUGCCUCUCCGCUCAUAACAACCUAUGCUGAGACAACGCCCAUGACGUGUGAUCCGGUACCGCUACCACACUGCGUGCCUGUGCCCGCCGUGAGCCGCUAGUGCAUGGGUACGACCAUGAGAAUAUGUGUUUAUGUUGCUUUUUAUACUAUUGUUUAUACGUUGAAGUGACGAAUUGUUUAUUUUUCGCAAGCCUCCGCUGUCCGGUUGCCUGCAGCUCCAUGCAACGCCAGCUGUACUGUUGUUUUAAUGUUGUCUCUCCGCUCAGCUGUACUGUUGCCUCUCCGCUCAUAUAUGACACCCUCUAUAUGAAUGGCACUACUGAUUGUCACACCCACUGUCCGUAUUGUCCGUAGUGGUGUCUACGCCCAUGUUAAUACAGCGUGCAGAAUCCA